AUCCUUCAUUGCCUAGAAAAUUCAUCCAAAGACAAAGUUACAGUAACCAAAUUUCAUGGCUUCAAGCAGAACAAACAAAUCAAUUUUCAUUGCAAUCCUAACCAUAAUAAAUUCCAUCAAUCCAGCACAGAUUUAGACAUAUGAAAACACUGGAGCAAACAUGUAUAACUCUUGCCAAUCACAUGAUAUGAAGUUCUUCAUAUCACAUAGACGUUCUAUGGGUAUAGAACAUGAUGAAGGGGACAUGCAGCUACGCGAACAGCCGAGACGCUGUUGGAGCUUUGUCAAUGAGGAGGCUAAAUGGGUUUGUUGUUGGUGAGGAAAAUAUGAGAUUUGAGUAGAAAGUAAGGAGUAGGAUUGAGAUAAGGAUGUGAAAUGGGUAUUGGUUGUUGGGUUUUCAGUUUGGGUGAGGGAGAAGAGGAGAUGAUAGACUUUCGGUGAGGGAAGAUGGCAGAGACAAGGUAAAGAAGGAGAGGACUAAAAGAAAAUUUUGAGUGGCUAGGGCUUUUAGAUGCUGAAAGUGGUGAAUAUAUAUCCUUAACUGAAUGGCUUAGAUCUUUUGAAAUGGACGGUCAAGAUUUAAUCUUAGAGUUAUGUUUAAAAAAAACAAUGAAAGAUGUGAAUGGUGAGUGUUGAACCCGAGACCCUCCAAAGUCAGUAAUUUCCUCUCCACCAUUAAGCCAUAUGUAUGUUUUGUAUCUCAUGGCUUUUAAAAUUAUAGUUAUUUUGGUUCGAUUUGGUUUUACCAAAAAUUUUUUCUCAAAAACUGAAC
rnacentral:misc_RNA from 1 species